rnacentral:rRNA from 1 species
CCUACGGGUGGCAGCAGUGGGGGAUAUUGCACAAUGGGGGGUACCCUGAUGCAGCGACGCCGCGUGGGUGAAGAAGCGCCUCGGCGCGUAAAGCCCUGUCAGCAGGGAAGAAAAUGACGGUACCUGAAGCAGAAGCCCCGGCUAACUACGUGCCAGCAGCGGCGGUAAUACGUAGGGGGCAAGCGUUAUCCGGAUUUACUGGGGGGAAAGGGGGUGCAGGUGGCGAUGCAAGCCAGGAGUGAAAGCCCGGGGCCCAAACCCGGGACUGCCCUUGGAACUGCGUGGCUGGAGUGCAGGAGGGGCAGGCGGAAUUCCUGGUGUAGCGGUGAAAUGCGUAGAUAUCAGGAGGAACACCGGUGGCGAAGGCGGCCUGCUGGACUGCAACUGACGUUGAGGCCCGAAAGCGUGGGGAGCAAACAGGAUUAGAUACCCCAGUAGUC